UUAAUUGAAACCAAAAAGAGGUAUGUUACUGUUAAUAACACAAAUGGGAUUUAAUCCCCAAUUAAA
rnacentral:tRNA from 1 species